AUACGGAAGGUCCGGGCGUUAUCCGGAUUUAUUGGGUUUAAAGGGAGCGCAGGCGGAGAUGCAAGCGUGACGUCAAAUUUCGGGGCUCAACCCCGUCUCGCGUCGCGAACUGCGUCCCUUGGUUGCGGGAAGGGGAGGCGGAACUCGUGGUGUAGCGGUGAAAUGCAUAGAUAUCACGAAGAACUCCGAUCGCGAAGGCAGCCUUCCGGCCCGUCAACGACGCUCAUGCUCGAAGGUGCGGGUAUCAAACAGGAUUAGAUACCCUGGUAGUCCGCACAGUAAACGGUGGACACCCGCGGUUUGGCCUGUAUGGCUGAGCCGCCAAGCGAAAGCGUUAAGUGUCCCACCUGGGGAGUACGCCGGCAACGGUGAAACUCAAAUGAAUUGACGGGG
rnacentral:rRNA from 1 species